GCCAGGUGUGGUGGCUCAUGCCUGUAAUCCCAGCACUUAGGAGGCCGAGGUAGGUGGAUCACUUGGGGUCAGGAGUUUGAGACCAGCCUGGCCAACAUGGCGAAACCCUGUCUCCACUAAAAAUACAAAAAUUUUCCAGGUGUGGUGGUGGGUGCCCAUAAUCCCAGCUACUGAGGCAAGAGAAUAGUUUGAAGCCAGGAGGUGGAGGUUGUAGUGAGAUAGCACCAUUGCACUCCACCCUGGGCAACAGAGUGAGACUCUGUCUCA
rnacentral:sRNA from 1 species